GACAGAGGUGCCAAGCGUUAGGCGGAAUCACUGGGCUUAAAGCGUGUGUAGGCGGAUGCCUAAGUACCUUGUGAAAUCCCACGGCUCAACCGUGGAACUGCUUGGUAUACUGGGUGUCUUGAGCCAUCUAGGGGCUACCGGAACAAAUGGUGGAGCGGUGAAAUGCGUAGAUAUCGCUUGGAACGCCGAAGGUGAAAACAGGCUGCUGGGGUUGCGCCGACGCUGAGACACGAAAGCCAGGGGAGCAAACGGG
rnacentral:rRNA from 1 species